AUUAUACAAGUGAAAAAUUAUAUCAAUAUAAUUUCCAAGUUACAGCAGUUAGUGUUUACCAAACACUUUAGUGCUGUAACUUUUAAGUUACAGCUGCCCAACCUCAAUCUCAAACACACGCAUACUUUUACUAUAUUUAUAUAUAUAUAUGUUAUUGUUAUUCCUUCCAUAUGAAUGUAUACAUCUACUGUGAUGCUUAUACAAGUGUGGGUCAGCAGAUACUUAUGCAGGUAUCCAUUGGAUGUUUAGUAUAUACCAAACCUCCCCAUAACUCGCAGUGUGUUUUAAUUUGUAAUAAUAAACCUGCCUGCAACUCGCAAAAUUACCCGUAAUUGGCGAGUUUUAACUGGUGGGUUUGGGCACCUUUGCUAGACACCAUUGUCAUCCCAACAUGUUGGACUUUAUCAUGUUGAUUUAUUUGAAUUUAUGUUGUUAUUUAUUAUUUAUGAAUUUAUGUACUCAUGAUUGUUGUUGUAGUAAUAAUAUAUUACUAUUAUAUAAAUUUUUUUUGUUGAAUGUAUAAGAUAAAAUUAAUCUAACCAAAAAGACCAAACGAUCAAAUUGAACUAAGCUAAACUGAAUUACUUUGGAGUUUUUUGGAGUACCCUACUGGAGCUUUUUGGAGUUUGUCACAGAAUAUAGAUUAAUCAAAAAAUUAGAGUCGUGGUAUUUUCACCCCUCAAUUUUUGUAAACCCACC
rnacentral:lncRNA from 1 species